AGAGCAUUUGACAACACAUGCCUUGGCUUUAGCAAAACAUUUUAACGAUAAAUGUUUUAAUACUGUAUACAUGAAAUCUUACGAUAAUAAGUUGGAUACAGUAUAGUACCAGAAAGGCCGUUUACCAAAAGGCGUUGGCAGGAAACCAUCAACUGGAGAUAUAAAACCGAUUUCCACAAGAACCAGCUUU